rnacentral:rRNA from 1 species
GGACGAACGCUGGCGGCGUGCUUAACACAUGCAAGUCGAACGAUGAAGCUUCUCGCUUGCGGGGGGUGGAUUAGUGGCGAACGGGUGAGUAAUACGUGAGUAACCUGCCCUCUUCUUUGGGAUAAGCCUUGGAAACGGGGUCUAAUACUGGAUAUUCUGCACUGGGCGCAUGUUUGGUGUUGGAAAGGUUUUUCUGGUGGGGGAUGGGCUCACGGCCUAUCAGCUUGUUGGUGGGGUGAUGGCCUACCAAGGCUUCGACGGGUAGCCGGCCUGAGAGGGUGACCGGCCACAUUGGGACUGAGAUACGGCCCAGACUCCUACGGGAGGCAGCAGUGGGGAAUAUUGCACAAUGGACGCAAGUCUGAUGCAGCGACGCCGCGUGGGGGAUGAAGGCUUUCGGGUUGUAAACUCCUUUUAACACUGAACAAGGCUUUUGUUGAGGGUAGGUGUUGAAUAAGCGCCGGCUAACUACGU